AAAUAUCGAAUACCAUGUUACGUAGGUAUUGUUCUAAUAAGUAGAAAUAUACUCAACUUAUAUAAAUGGUUAUGAGAUCAUUUAAAGCACUUCAUAAAUACAAGAUUAAGAAAAGCUGAGAAGAUCUCAAGGUUAGAUAAAAUAAAAACGGUUUUCAAGUGAUAAUAAAAUCGGUGCCUAUAGUAAACAACAAAUUAAUCAAGAAACAACUGUUUUUAAUUAUUGAAAUACGUAUAGGUAUAGGUCUGCAGCCGCCUAUUUGAAUCUUGGUUUCACGUCUCGUUUUCGGGGCUCGCAUAUUAUAAUGUUGUGCCCAGACGAUCAUUUGAAACGAGCGCAUAUGGAGUUUCGUAAUAUUUACCGUAGUUGUGGUCUUGUGGAUUGUGUCGUGUGCGAUUACGAAACAUGAUUUAAAGAAUUAUCCUGUCGGACGUCGGCAUAUCUGGGGGUGGGGGAACGAUACGUUUGCCUCCCCCGCUAAAAUUUCAGAGUGGGUAAGUGCCACCCUUGUACCCCUCCACCCACAAUUACGCCGCUAAUAUUAUUUCAAUAUUUAAAUUGCGAUUUGUAUAGAGAACUGAUAUACAGUCACCGUGAUCACUCAGUGAUUGCAGUAGAUUGAUAAACAUUAUUAAUUUCAUAAAAAGGUAAUUUUUACUCGUACAACUGCUGCAAGUUGAAAUUUCAACAUAGGAUUAUAAGAUCACGAAAUGUUGGCAUUUAUGUUUUAAAAACAUGUAUAUUACGUAUUUUUUUUUUUUACAUAAAAUUACAUCUUCGUUACCUAUGGUUAGAUUAAAUAAAACAACACUUUUUUUUUGAGAAUCUGAAUAUUUUUCGUAUAACCUUUUCCAACAGAUCCUCUCCAAUUGCAAUGCAAUUCAAUGUAUUUAUAAUCUUAUAUUCUUGUAUAUGACAUUUAUAUUAUAGGCAGGUACCUAUGUAACAUGCAGUAAAUCUCGAAUGUGUAAUGUGUUAGACAAAUAUUGAAAUAUUAUAUGUUCAUCUUUUAAACCAAACAUUAUAUUAUAAAUAAAAAAUUUGUGUUCUAACGUUUGUUCUAUAUUCGUUCGUUAGUGCAAAUACUAUAAUAUCAUUAUCGUCAACAUUUCAAUGAUGUAUGUUUUCCUUACUAAUCCCUGGUCCCCUCCUCCCCCCUCCCAGACGACACACGUAGGUAAAACAGAACUCGGUUAAAAAAAAAAAAAUCAGAACAUGUCAUUUAUUGAAUUGAAGAUUUAUAGGAAUAUUAGAAUAAUUUGAUAGUAGUUGCGUAAUUUAUUCUUAUUAUUUUUUAUUUAUUUAGAUAAGCCUCAUCGGCAUCUGGGCCAUCGGUUGACAAUUUUUUACUUCAAUAUAGUAUACAACAAUAUGGCAUACUUGUUUGCUGUCAUUACAAUAAAUUAUCUAUAUUCAUUUUUCUCGUCUUGGCCUAGCAGUGAUUGAAUAUAAGCAUGCGUCCGGAGAUGUUACUCAUUUUUUAAAUUUGUUAUGUUAUAUAUAAAAAAUAUAAUAAUAUCAUAUGAGAUAUGACAUUGUUUAUAAUAAUAUUAAUAAAUUAAUCAUUUAUAUUUUUUGCGCGUUAAAUGCACUGUAAACGAUAAACAGAUAAAUUCCUACACGUCUGAACGCUACUUUUGAAAUAAUAUAACGUUAUCAUCAAGAGCGUAUAUAAAUAAUAAUAUUAUGUAUCGUAAAUUCGUACGAAUACUCGUUUAUCGUACACCGACACAAUAUUAUUAUAUUAUAUCUAAGCACAAGAAAUAAAGAUGUUCGAACAUCAACGAUUUCAUGAGUAUAUUAUGCUGUAUUACUGUUUACAUAUUAUUAUAGCUAUGUUGGGUACCUACAAUAUAUAGCAACAGGUGAGGACUCGAGGCGCACUGCAAAUCUUCAUACAACAAUACAUAUAACAGUUAGCCCUGUUAGUCAAUUAAAGGUUGUUGAUUUUUAUUUUGAUUGGUAAAGACAAUAUUAUUAUUAUCUUGUAUCUAUAUAAUAAUUA